rnacentral:rRNA from 1 species
UUUACUGAGAGUUUGAUCCUGGCUCAGGACGAACGCUGGCGGCGUGCCUAAUACAUGCAAGUCGUGCGGACCUUUUAAAAGGUUAGCGGCGGACGGGUGAGUAACACGUGGGCAACCUGCCUGUAAGACUGGGAUAACGCCGGGAAACCGGGGCUAAUACCAGAUAGUUUUUUCCUCCGCAUGGAGGAAAAAGGAAAG